rnacentral:rRNA from 1 species
UACGUAGGCAGCGAGCGUUGUUCGGAGUUACUGGGCGUAAAGCGUGCGUAGGCGGUGGUCCAAGUCUGGUGUGAAAUCUCCCGGCUUAACUGGGAGGGUGCGCCAGAAACUGGGCCGCUGGAGUACGGGAGAGGCGAGCGGAAUUCCAGGUGUAGCGGUGAAAUGCGUAGAUAUCUGGAGGAACACCCGUGGUGCAGACGGCUUGCUGGACCGUGACUGACGCUGAGGCACGAAAGCCAGGGGAGCAAACGGG